rnacentral:rRNA from 1 species
UACGGGGGGGGCAAGCGUUGUUCGGAAUUACUGGGCGUAAAGGGUUCGUAGGUGGCUAACUAAGUCAGACGUGAAAUCCCUCGGCUUAACCGGGGAACUGCGUCUGAUACUGGAUGGCUUGAGUUCGGGAGAGGGAUGCGGAAUUCCAGGUGUAGCGGUGAAAUGCGUAGAUAUCUGGAGGAACACCGAUGGCGAAGGCAGCAUCCUGGACCGACACUGACGCUGAGGAGCGAAAGCCAGGGGAGCAAACGGG